rnacentral:rRNA from 1 species
UACAUGGGUGCAACGUUGCUCGGAAUCAUUGGGCGUAAAGCGCGCGUAGGCGGUUACUUAAGUUGGAUGUGAAAGCCCUCGGCUUAAACCGAGGAAGUGCAUCCAAAACUGAGUAGCUAGAGUACGAAAGAGGGUCGCGGAAUUCCCGGUGGUAGAGGUGAAAUUCGAUAGAUAUCGGGAGGAACACCGGUGGCGAAGGCGGCGACCUGGGUCGAGACUGACGCUGAGGCACGAAAGCGUGGGGAGCAAACAGG